rnacentral:snoRNA from 1 species
UUGCUGUGAUGACAGUCUUAGGACACCUUUGGAACACCUAUGACAAAAAAUUAAUUCUCUGAGCAAC